ACAUGCAAGUCGAACGGUAGCAGGAGAAAGCUUGCUUUCUUGCUGACGAGUGGCGGACGGGUGAGUAAUGCUUGGGAAUCUGGCUUAUGGAGGGGGAUAACGACGGGAAACUGUCGCUAAUACCGCGUAUUAUCGGAAGAUGAAAGUGCGGGACUGAGAGGCCGCAUGCCAUAGGAUGAGCCCAAGUGGGAUUAGGUAGUUGGUGGGGUAAAGGCCUACCAAGCCAGCGAUCUCUAGCUGGUCUGAGAGGAUGACCAGCCACACUGGAACUGAGACACGGUCCAGACUCCUACGGGAGGCAGCAGUGGGGAAUAUUGCGCAAUGGGGGGAACCCUGACGCAGCCAUGCCGCGUGAAUGAAGAAGGCCUUCGGGUUGUAAAGUUCUUUCGGUAUUGAGGAAGGUUGAUGUGUUAAUAGCACAUCAAAUUGACGUUAAAUACAGAAGAAGCACCGGCUAACUCCGUGCCAGCAGCCGCGGUAAUACGGAGGGUGCGAGCGUUAAUCGGAAUAACUGGGCGUAAAGGGCACGCAGGCGGUUAUUUAAGUGAGGUGUGAAAGCCCCGGGCUUAACCUGGGAAUUGCAUUUCAGACUGGGUAACUAGAGUACUUUAGGGAGGGGUAGAAUUCCACGUGUAGCGGUGAAAUGCGUAGAGAUGUGGAGGAAUACCGAAGGCGAAGGCAGCCCCUUGGGAAUGUACUGACGCUCAUGUGCGAAAGCGUGGGGAGCAAACAGGAUUAG
rnacentral:rRNA from 1 species